GAGUUUGAUCGUGGCUCAGAUUGAACGCUGGCGGCAGGCCUAACACAUGCAAGUCGAGCGGUAGAGAGAAGCUUGCUUCUCUUGAGAGCGGCGGACGGGUGAGUAAUGCCUAGGAAUCUGCCUGGUAGUGGGGGAUAACGCUCGGAAACGGACGCUAAUACCGCAUACGUCCUACGGGAGAAAGCAGGGGACCUUCGGGCCUUGCGCUAUCAGAUGAGCCUAGGUCGGAUUAGCUAGUUGGUGAGGUAAUGGCUCACCAAGGCGACGAUCCGUAACUGGUCUGAGAGGAUGAUCAGUCACACUGGAACUGAGACACGGUCCAGACUCUACGGAGGCAGCAGUGGGGAAUAUUGGACAAUGAGCGAAAGCCUGAUCCAGCCAUGCCGCGUGUGUGAAGAAGGUCUUCGGAUUGUAAAGCACUUUAAGUUGGAGGAAGGGCAGUAAAUUAAUACUUUGCUGUUUUGACGUUACCGACAGAAUAAGCACCGGCUAACUCUGUGCCAG
rnacentral:rRNA from 1 species